GAUUAGAUACCCUAUUAUUUUAUAGACAAUAAGAAUUAGUAUUUUAAAUGAAAUUUAAUAAUUUUGGCGGUUAGGGUUUUUUAGAGGAGCUUGAAUAUCAUAGAAUUUGCUCUUUAAAUCUUAGCAAUGAUAUAAUUUAUUCAUCUCCGUUAUUAAAAUAAAAUUUUAAUAAGUAUUUUUAGUAUAUCAGGUCAAGAUGUAGUGUUUAUUGGAAAUUGUUAGCUACAUUUAUGAAAUAUUGGACAAUUUUAUGGAAAAAAUUUUAGAAAUUGAAUUUAGAUGUAAUAAUAAUUAAAAAGUUAUUAUGAAUAUAUAUCCUUAAUGUACAUAUUGCCCGUCACUUCUGUUAAUA
rnacentral:rRNA from 1 species